AGUAUGGGGAAUGUUGUCUAGGCUCGAGAUGGCCACUUCAAAACUUUGAGUUAUAUGAUAGGUUUUUCGGACCAGGCUUCAUUCCCCUCACU
rfam:Lupinus angustifolius cultivar Tanjil chromosome LG17, whole genome shotgun sequence.